rnacentral:rRNA from 1 species
AGUGAACGCUGGCGGCAGGCCUAACACAUGCCAGUCGAACGGCAGCACAAGAGAGCUUGCUCUCUGGGUGGCGAGUGGCGGACGGGUGAGGAAUGCAUCGGAAUCUGCCCAUUUGUGGGGGAUAACCUCGGGAAACCGGGACUAAUACCGCAUACGACCUACGGGUGAAAGCAGGGGAUCUUCGUACCUUGCGCAGUUGGAUGAGCCGAUGCCGGAUGAGCUAGUUGGAGGGGUAAAGGCCCACCAAGGCGACGAGCCGUAGCUGGUCUGAGAGGAUGAUCAGCCAGACUGGGACUGAGACACGGCCCAGACUCCUGCGGGAGGCAGCAGUGGGGAAUAUUGGACAAUGGGCGAAAGCCUGAUCCAGCCAUGCCGCGUGUGUGAAGAAGGCCUUCGGGUUGUAAAGCACUUUUGUUGGGAAAGAAAAGCAGCCGGUUAAUACCCGGUUGUCAUGACGGUACCCAAAGAAUAAGCACCGGCUAACUUCGUG